GUAGAAGCAGGGGGAAGAGAUAACCUCUAGGACUCUCUGGCCCCAUCUGUCACUAGGUGCCUCCUUUGACGAACUUGGGGCAAGUCCUGAGAAGAAGCGUGUCAUGACUAUUUACAGAAUUUCUGAGCACUCAGGGCUGGAAGAGGAAAGAAAAAGAGAAAAACCUACAGCAAGUUCCUAUUUUCUACUUACUUCUCUUUGUCUAAGCCUGAAGAAUCAUGUGUUAAUGAAAGACCAGAAUCAAAGACACUUGAACAGACAUCAUCAAAGUGGGCUGGAGAAAAAUACCAGAACACCAGAAUGGAGGGGGAACAAAAGUUUUGGCACACAACUAGAAGCACAUCUCUUUCUCCCCUCCUUAAAUGAUGAAAUCUAUCAGCCAAUAGCAAAUGGCCCUAAUUGCCAACUUCAUUUACAAGAGAGACCUGUUAGUGAACACUGGAUGCAAUCUGUAAGCCUCAAUUUAUAAGAGGACUCAGUCAAUGACAUUCCUAUCCCUGCCUCUCUUUAUCUAAAACUAAUAAAAACCCUUGCCUCCUUUGUUUAAGGAGGCAGAUUUGAGACUUGCUCUCCUGACCUCUUCCAGCU
rnacentral:lncRNA from 1 species